CUUUCUCCUCCUUUUUUUUUCUUCCAUAAAAAAGAAAACAUUGACAAAGGUACAGAUUAUAUAAAUUGAUUUAGUAGUCCUUCAUUCUAUCUUGACAUGCAAAACUAGGUAUAUUUGGAGUAGUUGAUAUUAUACUUAGGCAAAUUCAGAAUUAUUCAAAUGACUGAAAUUCAAAUUAUUGAAACCCUAGACAAAAUCAUAGUCAAUAAUAGGUCAGUGCCAAAUUUAAGACUCACAUAGUGUUGCUUAACUAUUUUUUUUUAAUCAAGGCAAAAUAGAAACAGUCAACUUAUUAGAUUUGAUAAUAUGGGAAGCCAAGAUGACAUAGUUAAGGCAGGAAUGUACCUUAGCUCUUACAAAUUUUCCUUCAAAUACCAUUGAAAUAAUAUCUCAAGAUAAUUUUGGAGUGCUAGAAUCAACACAAGAGCAGGCUGAAAACAUUUUCCAACCAAAGACAACUUAGAAAAAUUCAGCAGAAAUUCUGUCUCACUGGGAUAAGAGCGAAUUUACCACUAAGAAAGCUGUCAAUAAGCCUUGUGGGCAACUGAAUUUGUGGAGAUGAUUUCCUGAACUCUCAAUACACAAUUUUUAAAGGAGUCAGAUAAAUGGUCAGAAGGAAAUUAUAAGGGGCACUUUAUUAGUACUGGGAGAAGGCCUCUCUAGCAUUACUCAAAAAGAGUUUCCAGUCAUACACCUAUCAGGAAGCUUGGGACAACGCCCCCUUUACCCCAGGGGCAGAGGUCCAUCUUAAAAAUAAAAAUAGAAGAAAUAUCAAAAGAAAAGGAAAGAAAAAAAAAAAAAAACAAGGAACAGAACCUUGACCAUAGAAAGCUACUAUGGUGAAAGGGCCAACCAAAGCGCAAACUCAGAUGAGAACAGAAUGUCCACAGAGGAAACCUCAAAGAGUGAAAUAAUUCUGAUAUUCAAAAUGUCACCUGUCCUGGAAAGAAGAUAGACUGGUAUUCCAAAAGGAAAAUCCUUUUUGAGAUCAAACUAAAAGACAGUACUUUAAAAAACAAAAGACACCCACACAGAAGCCUGUAAUCCAUUGUUUUGCGAAAGCCACAGUUCAGUUUGGGAGGAAUAUUUGACACUACUUCACAGCAAAUGAGGGAGCCAAGAAGGAGGAAGCCUCAUUAUCUCAAUGCCUAAUUAAUUUUCUAAAAUAUUGUUAUUCAAACUACUGCUCAAAUAUAAUAUUAGACUGAGUAGCAAAUUUGGAAAAUUCAUGGCAAUAGAAAAAUUAACAAAUGCAAAUACAAAGAAACAAAGCAGGGUAAAAAAUGCUCAGUUCAGGAAGUGACAUCUUUAAUACAAUCAAGAAUCAUUUGCCAUAUGAAUGCAACCAACAAGAUUUUUAUUUAGUUAUUUUAAAACACUGGUAGUAAAAAUGAGUAUUUUUAGCAACCAUUUCAUCAAUCAUAGGCUCAUUAUCAAUGGAGGGAUCUUGUUCCCUAAUUGAGAUAUUUGCAUUCAAAAGUCUUUUUCAAUCAUCGUAUAUUCAGUGAUCAUUUGGGGAAUAAAAAGCAAACAAAGAAAUUUGAACAUGUGUAGUCCCCCUGACAAGAAAGAAGAAAGAGACCCCUUUUG